rnacentral:tRNA from 1 species
GCGGGUAUAGUUUAAUGGUAAAAUCCCUCCUUGCCAAGGAGAAGACGCGGGUUCGAUUCCCGCUACCCGC